UUCAAGAGUGACAGACAAGUGUAAUGAAUUUAAAAUUCAUAAAUAAAAAGAAUUUUCCUUGAAA
rnacentral:tRNA from 1 species